rnacentral:rRNA from 1 species
UGGCGGACGGGUGAGUAACGCGUGGGCAACCUGCCCUGUACUGGGGGAUAACACCUGGAAACAGGUGCUAAUACCGCAUAAGCGCGCAGUGCCGCAUGGCACGGCGCGGAAAACCCCGGUGGUACAGGAUGGGCCCGCGUCUGAUUAGCUGGUUGGCAGGGUAACGGCCUACCAAGGCGACGAUCAGUAGCCGGCCUGAGAGGGUGGACGGCCACACUGGGACUGAGACACGGCCCAGACUCCUACGGGAGGCAGCAG